rfam:Candidatus Taylorbacteria bacterium RIFCSPLOWO2_12_FTLL_43_20 rifcsplowo2_12_scaffold_19387, whole genome shotgun sequence.
UAUAUUAAGAGUUUGAUCCUAGCUCAGGAUGAACGCUGGCGGCGUGGAUAAGGCAUGCAAGUCAAGGGGGGUGCAUCACAUGGAAUGUGAUGGUGAAAAUCCCAAAUCACAAACUACAAAUCACAAACAAAUCACAAUGACCAAAAUACUAAACUCCAAACGGGCAAUUUCCGUUUUGAAUUUUGAAAUUGGGAUUUAGAAUUUGUCUGGAAUUUGGAGCUUGGAAUUUGGAGUUUUGUAUCAUCGCGCUUCGCGUGAUGCAUCAACCGGCAGACGAGGUAGUAAUACAUAGAUACGUACCCCAAAGUCGAGCAUAGCUAGUCGAAAGAUUAGGUAAUUCUCGAUAGCACCAGUAUUUCGUACUGGAAAUUCGAAAUUCUAAGCACGAAAUUCGAAAAAUAUUCAAAUUUUAAAUUUAAAAUUCUAAACUAUUUUUUAUUUUUGGAUUUGUAAUUUUUUCGGAUUUCGAAUUUGCGAUUUCGUGCUUCUAGUACGGAGUACUGGUUAAAGAUUUAUCGCUUUGGGAGCGGUCUGUGCAGUAUCAGCUAGUUGGUAGGGUAAUGGCCUACCAAGGCUAUGACGCUUAGGGGGAGUGAGAGCUCGAUCCCCACCGAUGGAACUGAGAAACGGUCCAUACACCUACGGGUGGCCGCAGUCAAGAACCUUCCGCAAUGGGCGAAAGCCUGACGGAGCGACGCCGCGUGAUUGACGAAGUCCUUCGGGACGUAAAAAUCUUUUGGGAGGGAGAAAACCAGUGCAAGGCACUGGGAAUAUCUAAUUCCUAAUAUCUAAUUCCUAAUAUGAAUUCAAAUUUUUAAAUUGAUUCUUGUCAUUCCCGUGUAAACGGGAAUCCAGACUUAUCGUUUUUUUGGAUCCCCGCAUUUGCGAGGAUGACAUUAAGAAAUAUCAAUUUAGACAUUGGAAAUUCAUUAGAAAUUAGUAAUUAGAAAUUGGUAAUUCCAAUGUCUUGCAUUGGCUGAUGUUACCUCCAGAAUAAGGGGUUGCUAAACUCGUGCCAGCAGCAGCGGUAAUACGAGUGCCCCAAGCGUUAUCCGGAAUUAUUGGGCGUAAAGGGUGUGUAGGCGGUCGAGUUAGUCUCUUGUGAAAUUCUUCGGCUUAACCGGGGACCCGCGGGGGAAACGGCUCGACUUGAGGGUGCGAGAGGUGAAUGGAACUCAUAGUGUAGGGGUGAAAUCCGUUGAUAUUAUGGGGAACACCAAAAGCGAAGGCAAUUCACUGGCGCAUUUCUGACGCUGAAACACGAAAGCGUAGGUAGCGAAUGGGAUUAGAUAAACGUUCAACUCUAUUGGGAGCGAACAAAUGUCUCUUUCCGUAGUGAUGCGGAAUUGAAAACUUAGCUAUAUGCUGGAAAACCCGAGUAUCCGAAAGUACUCCAUGAGUGUGGAGUGAAAAUCUUUUCGGUGCGGGCAAUCAGCAGGGAAGAUCUAAAAAAGAAAAGGAGUGUAUGUAUCAAAAAGAAAGAGAGUACCUUUCAUUACUGUUGAAAGAAUCACAGGAAUGGAAAAGAAAUCGACCUGAAGGCUGGGAAGAUGAAUCAAAGUGUCCCGGUUGGCAGGAAGAAUUGUUUCGACGAACGGAAAUUCAUCGGAUUACACAUCCACCACCUCAGCCAGUAGGUACACUGGCAGAUUUGGGCCGCUUUUGUGGCCAUUAGAUUCCCUCAGAGACUAUACGCUAAGCCCAGUUCUCUGAAGCAAGGAUGUCGGCUUUUAGCUGACGUCCCUUUUUCAGAGAACUGGUGAAGAUAUAGUCCGUUCUACAUAGCGAUAUGUAGAGGCAAGCAGAAAUGACUUGUCCGAGUAAUGUAUUUUAGUUUAACUUUGAAACUUUAUAACUUUCAACUUUAAACUAAAAAUGUUACUUAGUAACAUUUAAGACCCCAGUAGUCUACGCCCUAAACGAUGAUCUCUAGCUUUUCGGAGUAUCGACCCUCUGAGAGGCGAAGCUAACGCGUUAAGAGAUCCGCCUGGGUAGUACGGCCGCAAGGCUAAAACUCAAAGGAAUAGACGGGGACUUGCACAAGCAGUGGAUCAUGUGGUUUAAUUCGACGACAAACGAAGAACCUUACCAGGAUUUGAAACCUAGAUGAAGACACGUAGAAACAUGUGUCGUCCGCAAGGACAUUUAGGCAGGUGAUGCAUGGCCGUCGUCAGUUCGUGAUCUGAAUUGUUCCCUUAAGUGGGGUAACGAACGCAACCCUCGUCGGCUGUUACAAGUGUCAGCCGAGACUGCCCAGCUUUUUGAGCGUAAGCUCAAAAAGACAAUUGACCAUUGACCUUUACAAUUGACUUCAAAUGCGAGAAUCCGCUUUUUAGUUAAAUGUUAAUUGUCAGGUGUCAAAUGUGCUUUUUGUUCUUGUGAACAAAAAGCUGGGAGGAAGGCGAGGAUGACGCCAGGUCAGCAUGUCCCUCUGAUAUCCUGGGCUACACACGUGAUACAAUCGCCGCUACAACGCGUUGCAAUGAGGAAACUCAAAGCUAAUCGUAAUAAAGGCGGCGCCAGUUCGGAUAGAGGUCUGCAACCCGACCUCUUGAAGCCGGAAUUGCUAGUAAUCGCGGGUCAGCAUACCGCGGUGAAUACGUUCUCAAGUCUUGUACUCACCGCCCGUCAACUCAAGGGAGUUGGGAAUACCCGAAGUUCUCUGCAAGGAGACCUAAGGUAAGCUCAAUAACAGGGAGUAAGUCGUAACAAGGCACGGGUAGCGGAAGCUGCUCGUGGAAUAUUUCAAUU